rnacentral:rRNA from 1 species
CUCAGAUUGAACGCUAGCGGGAUGCCUUACACAUGCAAGUCGAACGGCAGCACGGACUUCGGUCUGGUGGCGAGUGGCGAACGGGUGAGUAAUGUAUCGGAACGUGCCCAGUAGCGGGGGAUAACUACGCGAAAGCGUAGCUAAUACCGCAUACGCCCUACGGGGGAAAGCAGGGGAUCGCAAGACCUUGCACUAUUGGAGCGGCCGAUAUCGGAUUAGCUAGUUGGUGGGGUAACGGCUCACCAAGGCGACGAUCCGUAGCUGGUUUGAGAGGACGACCAGCCACACUGGGACUGAGACACGGCCCAGACUCCUACGGGAGGCAGCAGUGGGGAAUUUUGGACAAUGGGGGAAACCCUGAUCCAGCCAUCCCGCGUGUGCGAUGAAGGCCUUCGGGUUGUAAAGCACUUUUGGCAGGAAAGAAACGUCGCGGGUUAAUACC